CGGGGGGAGCAAGCGUUGUUCGGAUUUACUGGGCGUAAAGGGCGCGUAGGCGGCGCAACAAGUCACUUGUGAAAUCUCCGGGCUUAACCCGGAGCGGCCAAGUGAUACUGUCGUGCUAGAGUGCGGAAGGGGCUACUGGAAUUCUCGGUGUAGCGGUGAAAUGCGUAGGUAUCGAGAGGAACACCUGCGGCGAAGGCGGGUAGCUGGGCCGACACUGACGCUGAGGCGCGAAAGCCAGGGGAGCGAACGGGAUUAGAUACCCCGGUAGUCCUGGCCUUAAACGAUGGAUGCUUGGUGUCCGGGGUUACAUAGUCCCCGGGUGCCGGCGCUAACGCAUUAAGCAUCCCGCCUGGGGAGUACGGUCGCAAGACUG
rnacentral:rRNA from 1 species